AAUUCGCCCUUAGAGUUUGAUCAUGGCUCAGAUUGAACGCUGGCGGCAUGCCUUACACAUGCAAGUCGAACGGUAACAGGUCUUCGGACGCUGACGAGUGGCGAACGGGUGAGUAAUACAUCGGAACGUGCCCAGUCGUGGGGGAUAACUACUCGAAAGAGUAGCUAAUACCGCAUACGAUCUGAGGAUGAAAGCGGGGGACCUUCGGGCCUCGCGCGAUUGGAGCGGCCGAUGGCAGAUUAGGUAGUUGGUGGGAUAAAAGCUUACCAAGCCGACGAUCUGUAGCUGGUCUGAGAGGACGACCAGCCACACUGGGACUGAGACACGGCCCAGACUCCUACGGGAGGCAGCAGUGGGGAAUUUUGGACAAUGGGCGAAAGCCUGAUCCAGCAAUGCCGCGUGCAGGAUGAAGGCCUUCGGGUUGUAAACUGCUUUUGUACGGAACGAAAAAGCUUCUCCUAAUACGAGAGGCCCAUGACGGUACC
rnacentral:rRNA from 1 species